AGAACCGCAGCUGCAGCAGCAAGUCCAAACCAUCCGCCCAGGAAGCGCCGCAACCAGGGCUUGGGAGGAGCGGAUGGGGCAAGGCAGGGGUCUAACCCAGGGGUAGUCUUGGAUCCACUUUCCACCAUAAACUCCCUCUUUGCCCAGGGCAAGCCGACAAAAUGUGGUUCAAGCUGACCAGGCCGAGCCGUGGAGGAAUGCUGGGGCUUGCCCGCAGAAGGGAUGGGACCAGAGAGGAGGGGUAAUGGAGACCCCAGGAAAGGGCAGUCCAUUUCAGGUGAAGAAAGGUCAUGGCUUCAUACCUCACUUCCUGACACAAACAAGUUUUUACUGUUGUCAGCAACAAAGCCCUAAUAUAGCCGCGGAAGAGAAAAACUGCGUUGCAUUUUGCCUCUUGAGAGCAUCAUCAACAGUUACCGGAGGAAUGUAAUUCCAGAAAGCUCCAAAACUGGUAGUGAUGGUAAUUAUGGACCAAAUGCCCAAUUCUGGUUAUUAUUUUCUGGGCAUUUCUGUUCUACCAACGAUCUGCGAGUGAGCUCACUGAGAGGGCAAAUCUAGCUUUUCUUUUUGACUUUGUAAAAUUUAAUCAGGCCUGAUAGGGAACUCACAGCUCUUGGGGGAAAAUAAAGUAGGAACCACGAAAUGUCAUUUUAACAGAGCGUGGGCUUGGUGACUGCAGGAAAGGAUUUAAGGACGCUCCUGUUCCGCUUGCUGUGUAAUGAACACUGGCUCCACGCACGCACCGACGCCAUAGCUCCCGGAUGCAGUGGCUCCCUUAUCUGGGCUUUUGCAGCCCCACAAGCCCCUUCGGGAUGCUUCGAGGGGCUCCCGGUGGGUGGUGGUACAAAUGCUGCCGCCGCCGCUGCCGCCGCCGCCGGUCCUGCUGCUGUUGUUGCUGCUGCAGUCACGUGGGAGCCCCUUUAAGUUUCCAUAGAGAGGCCUCUCCGGUGUCACAUGAUGGACAUGAUAUAAUGAAACAACAUUGUGGAGAGGAAAGCAUUAGGGGAGCCCACGGCUACAAAACAAGUGAGAAGAGGUGGGAGAAAGAGAAACUACGCCACCUCCUCUGCAGCCGAGCGCACGCAGCAGCCUGGUGUGACAAGUGGGCGACGCCGGGGGCAGGGAGUGGGGGUCCUCCGCCCGCUCCGGGGACCUUGUCGCCCACCGUGCGCAGAGCAACUUUUAACCGGCAGCCCCGCACCUGUCUCAGAGAGUCCCCAUCGCUCCCCACCAACCACCAUGGGAAAAUUCUAGAAGAAUACGCUCUCAGAAUCUACGUGCGCAUCAUUUUCCUCCUCGCUCCAGAGGAAGGAACCAGAAAAGAGGGCAAAGCGGUGUAGUGUUCAGCCUCAAGAACCACCGUGCAUCCCUGGGAUGGUGCCCUCUACAGGAGGAUCUUUGCCUCACUUUUGGGAAUCUCUUAACUGCAUCUCGUUGAUUCUUAGGGUUAGAAGAAUUGCACUAACAGGAGUCUGCAACCUCUCUGCCCUGCUGAUGCACCCAGGCAGGGCUCACUGAUUUGCAGGAGUACAUGACCACAGAUCAGAGCCACUGCAGGCUGCACAGAUACCUGACUGGGCGCUCAGGAAGACUCAGGCAGAGAUGGGGAGUCGGCCUGCAAGCUGGGAUGCUAGAGCUCAUAUGCAGUUCUCCAUUUAGCUAGGAGGUUUCCAGGGCAACCACUGAAGCAGUAAUUAAAGAUCAAGAGCUAAAAGAGAGAAAAAUGGCAGCAACCUGGUCUCUUUUCACAGAACACAAUAAGCCACCAAAGAGUGCUGGGGCCUCAGACAUGUGCAGCCACUCACAACUCUUACGUGAGAGCUGGGGAUCUGAACUCGGGUCAUCGUGCUGGCUCAGCAGGCACUCUUGAAACCAAUGUGCCCCCCAAGAGUGUGGCGACCUCCACGGAAAUCAUGAAGAUCCCCUUUCUGUUCCUCACUGCCUUCUGCCACAACCCCUGGUCAGCAAGUGACCAAUUAAAAGGACCAGCCUGUCAUUCAGGAACAAGUGACAGAGAUCUAAGAUGUGAGAGGGAGAAGACAAAGGAGGCAGAGAGAGACAGGUGCUGGCCAGACUUGGUGACAAACAGGCCUGACGCAGUGAAGAUGAAGGGACCAGAAGAAGCCAACUGAUGGGAGCCAGGCUGGAUGCGGCUGAGCAAGUUCAAAGAGAGAAGAACCGCAUGAAGCUUGAGUCUGUUCCUAAUCUGCAGGACUGCUUCUUGAAGGAGCUUUUCUGGAGAACAAAUACACAAGAUAAGAAGGGUUCUUCCUUUUCAGGCCUGGGUGAGGUGAGGGGCCAUGCCUAGCUCACACUAACAGUCUCGCUCAAUGCUUCACAGGGGUGAAUGGGCAUCGGACAGAUUAAAGCAUCUUCUAGCUUGAAGCCCCAGUUUGGCUCUGUCACAUCCUUGAGCAGGGAUGUAGAUGUGAAGGGCCAGACCUGAAUACCAACACAAGUUGACUGCGAAGCCCCCCUUGUCUGUCCUGGUUGAAAACAGGUUCUCUGAAUUCUUCUCUCGGAUUUAGCAUCACAGAUGUGGCAGGCAAAGUUUGUAAGGCCCACAGAGUUUAUUGUGGACAGACUGACCUACCUGGUCAUCCUAGACUUGUUAGCAUGUAGUUAUUAAAACUGGAUUAAAGUUUCUAGAAAGCUGCAUUGGCAAGUGACAAGGGCCAUGCUGUGACUUUAAGGUAGUUCCCAUAAUGCUCUGCCACUCACGGUGCACCUCAUGGAGGUGGUUGGAGGGCUCUGGGGUACAAGUCAAGGCCAACCUCCCAUGGCUUUUGAGUGCCGUGUCCACCGUCCACUGAUUGGCCAACCUUAGGCAAGUCCCCAAGCUCCCUCUGUUCCCUUAUCUGUAGGAUGGGGUAAUAGUAGACCUUAGCCUGUAGGGUAGCGCACGAGGCAGGCCUGUGUGUCACCAGGUUGGGUGGCCUGCCUGAGAGCAGAUCCACAAAAGGAGCUGAACCCCAGAGCUGGUGUCCUACCUGAACGAGGCCACUGUGUUUCCUGUCCCGUAAAGGCACAAACAUAACUAGUUCGCUCAUUUCCGUUGUUUGAAGGAGAACUUUGAGUAAAUGUUAAGUAGACGGAGCACUUUUGUGUCAGGGUUUUAUUUUGUUUGAAGAGGGUGGACUCUGUACACUUGAGUGGUGUCCACACAAUGCAAGUGGCAGGAAGACAUGGAGCAGCCUCGGGAUCCAUCACAUUAGGAGUGUCCAGCCUUAGAGCACCCACCCAAGCAAGCAUGUCCCACGAGGACAGCAGUGACCUCCAAAGCCACCGUCUACUUGGCAUGUGUCCCCUGUGCCCCUCCUUAGCUUCUGCUUCAUGGCCUUCUAGUUUGGCUUUAUGUUCCCCUUCCCCCUAUCUACUACUUCAGGACGACCUCCCAAGACUGUCCCACCGGCGGUCAGAGAUAGGCCGGGACCAGCCACACAUACCACCAUUGAGAUCUGAGCCUGAUAUGUGUGUGACACUAGGGGAGGGAGACUUCCUGUUCGCAAGAGGGGAAAUGAGCUGUCCAAGCAUUUGAGUGGUACUCAGAAUGCCAAUCAACAUUCUUCUCCCACCAGCAUAGCAGCAGCAGCAGCAGCAGGAUUUGUAGACUCAUGCUCUCUCACUGAGGGCAGCCAUAAGGUCUCAAAGGUGAGGGCAGCGGAGUGAGUGUGUAUUCCCACCUUCUAUUAUAAAUCCACUUGAUUUGCCCUCAACUGGUGAAAUAUGUUCACAUUAUGCAAAUGGUUCAGUCUGAUGGCCUGUGGAUAUAGCCCCACGGAGAGCGACUUGCCUAGCCUGUGUGAAGCCCUGAGUCGGGUCCCCAGUGCCACCAAAGGCUACAGCAGCAGCAACAACAUGACCAUUUGUAAAAACGUUCAAAACAGCAUGUCCAUCUUAGUAUCCAAAAACCAGGAAGAAAAGAGUCAGGCCAAAACAUCCAAAGGCACGGAAACAAACCCAGGAGGGACUUGCUCUGUCUCCACUCCACAGCUGCCGAUGGCAGAGGCUCGUGUACCCUCCUCCAGCAUUGACACACACCCUCCCCUCAUCCAGAGUGAAGGCUCAUUCUCAGCCGGACCAUGAAAGGCAAGGCGAGCUCUUAAGAAAAGGCUGCCUUUCUCCAGCAUGCGUGGUAUCCUCAAACCCCCGCCACGACUGAUACUCUACCUUCCCCACGAAUCUGAGCGGCCCUGCCGUAGGAGCUCCUACACCCUUCUUCCUGGCAUAAAUUCAUAGGCUUGGCAAAACAGCAAACACAAUGGCAACUUCAAAGGACACCUUAGUGUUAGAUGAUGUGUGUGCUGCUGUUAACAUGACUGUCCCCUAGACAGCUCUGAAAACGGUUCCUUCUACCAACCUAGGGAGUGGCAGUAGAGUCUGUUUAAUGCCAUCUGGGAGGAAAGAGGAUUUUUAUGUGUGAAAUUUGGGAAUAACAAAACCAACUUUCUCUCUCCUGCAAGGGUUAAUGCUCCAGUCAGCUUCAGAUGGGUUCUCUUGUAUCUUAAAAUUACUUUUCUGGUCACGCGCUCAGAAGGUCUAAGCAUUUGUGGAUCUCACCCCCCACCCCCACCCCAAAUGCUAUUCUCUUUGGCUGUCUUAAUUACACAGGGGUUGGGAAACCAAAUUAAAACUAGGCGUGGCUGGGUAAACAGCGAUCACAUGGCAGGCUUUAGCUUUGCUCCUGGGGCUGUCUACUCCCCACAGCUCUGCUUAGCACUUUGUAUUUUUCUGAAGGAAAUAGCAUGGGGUCUUUUGGAAAUAGUCACAGGAAGUGGGACUCGGUGGCUGGUUACUCACCAGCCCCGGAGUCAGUCCUGACAGGUGGCAAAUGCCACUGCCUCCCUCCUGAUUUAUGUGGAAAUACCCCCCAGAGAGGCAGCCAUGAGGCUGGGUGCACAGCCCAAAGGGCUUUUUGUCCACCAAGUGGCUUUCACGAGGAGACUGGUCAUGGCAUGUCAUCUGGAGUGGGGGGUGACUCAGAGCUGAUCUGGGGUCACUCCACACACGUGGUAGCCACCGUGGGGUUUCUGUUCAGUUCUCAGAGUGCAGGCGGUCUCCUAAAAAUGAUCUCUCCCUCCCACCCCCAACAGCCGUCCUUUCUCAGUGAGUCACUUCCAGAAAUGAAUAGCCGCAGAUUUUGGAAUGAGCAUUGUGAAAUCUCUCGUUUAUAAUGGCAGGUUUUCAGUUGGUGGCUUGAUCAGACAUUUUCUCAAGAUGAAAAUGAGACCUUGUCUCUAAAAAGAAAAAAAAAAAAGAAAGAAAGAAAGAAAGCCCUGUGGAUUCAGAAAGCAAAAGUCUCCCACUAAAGAGCUGUCACAGCCGACCUAGUCCUCUGUGUCAAGCUGUGUGUCCUUAGAUUUGCCUGUACGGGUGAGUUCUUGGAAUUACCGACCUCGCAGCAGUAGUAGCUGGUGGUUUCCGAUGCAGAAGGUUACUACUUGAAUCAGCUCUCCUCUGGGUGAGUAGGUGGUAGUUUCCCAAGGUGUUCAGCAACUUGAGCCGUGGAUUUAAAAGGCUGCUGGCAGCUCUUACACACUUCUGCUUCCUGAAGCCCAGUGGAUGGUUCUGCCGAGCAGCAGGAGGACCCUGAGGUGUGUGAAUGAUUGAAUUACCACUCCGUCUUUUGACUAUGGAGAUCUUUUGAGGAGGAGGAGAAAGUAUUUUUGCAGAAGGAAGUGGGUUUUUUUUUUAAUGGGGGAGCUUUCAGAGGGGUAAUUAUUGGGUUCUGUUUUAAGCACUAAGACCCUUCUUUGGUGUGAGGAGAUAAAUGACUUAUGAUCUUAACAGAGAAGUUUUGCUAUAACUCUAAGGAAGCUCUAUGGCACUACUAACAGUACCCUCUGUCAAAGGAAGAUGCUAACCCCAGCAGACAGAGACUAUCUGGCAAUACCCACCCUGGGUCUGCCAGGCCCCAUGGGCUCCUGGGUUAGUGGGGGCACUUUAUGCAGGGCAGAGAGAAGGAGCCCAAUUACCGGAAGCAGGGAGUGUAGCUGCAGGGAUUGUUCUCUCAAGUGGAUCAGUUGUUUGACCUACUGACUCAUUUCAUAGGAAUUGGGAAAACAACCUAAUGUGGUUUUACUGUCGAUGCUCAAGGACUGCAGGAUCCCGGGCUUGGGAUUGCGAUGGGCUGGAGGAAGGCAGUGCUGCGGCUUGUGCUUUCUGCUGGCCCGCUCUCCGCUCUCCUAGUGGAAUUCAGUCCUCUGCUUCCAGGACAAGCCCAGCCUGCACUUGGGGAUCCUUGGGUGAUGGUUCAACCGUGAGUAUUUUUUUGAAGCUCACUGAUUCUUGCUUAGAAACUUAUAAAUGGCAUUUCGUCAAAGGAAGAGCUUCAAAGGACUGUCUUUGCUGGUGUGCAUGUGUAUAUUUCACGUUUACUAUGAAAAGUACUCUGUGAUCAUAACUACAGAAGUACACAAGGCCUACAGACAACCAUGGGAGCUAAGAAUUAAGAUUUUUUUUUAUAGCAUAUACGUAAUAAUGAAGUUGUAGUUUUGUUCUUUAAAUGUUUUGUUAGCAAAACGUGAGCUAAUUCUGUAAGAUGCACAUUGAGGAAGUAAUGUGUUUAUGUGUAGGGACUUGUGAUUCCUCGUGUUUUUCUUUGCCGCCAUUGCCAGCAAAUAAGCCUCAGAGGAGAACAAAGACAGUGCUUUGGUCCCGUGUAAGAGCAGACUUAGAGAAGAUAACCCUGACGUUGUAUGUGCUGCUCUCUGUGUUAGCUGUGCUGUCUGCCUCUUCCAGAUCACGUGUCCAGAUCACAUCCUUAAUUAGUGUAAGGGAUGCUUGAUAGGUGAUGGCUGUGGGUGUUCUUACUCUCCCACGAAGGGGCUGAGUAGAGGGUACAGUCUAUUGGGUUAUGUCUAUUGAGUAUGCUGUUAUGUCCUAACGCUUCAGAGUUAGAGUUAUCAAUCUGUUCUAGAUUCUAGCCCUCCCCACCCCCCACCCUGAGAUGCUGACAGAAGCCAUGAAUUCUUUAACCACGUCAUUACACUUUUGCUUGCACACGAAGGCAUCCACAGAAAUGGAGAAGCCUCUCCAGAUGCAGCAGGUAUAGGAGGCUGGGCUGUACUCUGGGGGGCCGUAUCCUUCUGGGCAGACAGACUUCCCAAAGAACUGCUGUUAAAAGCAGGAAACAGAGAACAAGACACAAGGGCGGAGAACACACGACUAAGUAAAUAAUAGAGAGUGGUUGAUACCAUCAGGAUCAUCAUGUGUGGCGCCCAGAACCCCUGUCCAAUUAGCCAGGCCCAUCUAUAAAGGAGUAUGACUUUGGGUAGAGAGUUAAGGACUUGUCAUAAACCACUUCAGCUAGUUGUGUGUGCCACCAAAUCAGGUAGGGUCACUUGAACUUGAAGGUAUCAUUCAUAACAAAUUGGAGAGGAAGAAACAUGGUAGGGACAAGCAUAUGAGGAGGUGGUUGAAUACAAAAGGAACAGUGUUUGGGAAAAAAAUACAGCCCUUUGAGCUCAUGAGCUGCAUUGAAACCAGUACCAUGGGGCCAUUGUGGAAAAAGAAGACAUGGAUAUGUUAAAAGGAGUGUGCCACAGAGGUUAAGAGGGGCAGACAACAUUCACCAGACUUGGUGUACUCGGUUUGAGUCACAUUCAAAGGAAAAUGUUCAUCGAUUGUGAAGUGCUGAUACACAAUCAACAGAAAUUACAUACCCUUCUAGGAAAAGAUAAAGGGACGGAGGGUUUUAGUCUGAAGGAGUGGGGGAUUGUUGCUGAGAGUCCUGUGCAGUAGCUGCUUGACUUCUCUUGCUGUCUUGGGCCUCUGUGCUGCCCACUUGGUCUUCAUUUGCAGCACGGUGUAUAGCCAGUGGCUGGUUUAGGAAUGCUUGUGACCCUUUUGUGAUAGACUCCUGCAAGUAAAUACAUCCAGAUAAAUCCAAAGAACUAUGGCCAGGACACAGGAAUCAUCAAUACAUUUUCUGGCUGUGAUAAAUAGAUAAGAAAGGUGAUAAAAUAGUUGAGCUAAGACAUGCGAUGACAUCUUUGGUGAUAACUUUCUAAAGAUGAAAGUAAGUAGCUAUUUUGAGUGGUAGAACAUUUAUUUCUUCAACAUGUAGGGCCUACUGUGGUAGGUUCAAAAGGAAGAUGACAGUGCCUGAUUACACUACUGUGGGGACAUAGAGCAGCAUGUGGUAGGGGCUUGUGGCAUUCAACCACUACCCUGUGUGGCUUCCUGAUGGAGUUGAAGUCCAGACUUUCCCCUAAAGGGCAGCCACUGAGGUUAGCAAGAUGAAGGAGUUAGGGCAAGCCAUUCCCCUGAGGACCAGGCACAUAGGGGCACGGACCUAGGAAGUGUGGCAGAAGGCAGUGGGAACAGACGUUGGGGGAACCACUGUGAGUACGGGACAAGUGUGCCUGGUGAGGUGUGUGACCUGGAAAGAUGAACAGGCAGUAGUUAAGAGGACUUGACUGGGGGACAGGUUGGGCAAGAUAAAGAGGCUCCUGACUCAGCAGAGCUGUGAUGAGCGGGUUUGAAGGUCAUGGACUCCAGAGAGAGGAGUGAGCAGGCAGAUAGGGCAAAGUCAGCGUAAUGGCUUAGUUACUGUGUACUGUCACUCACUAGGCACCAUGACACAAGAUGCCAGAAGGAAGUACAGGCCUGGAGGAAGAAACAGGCGGCAUUGAAACAGAACACACGCUGGCUAGGUAAAUGGAGAUGUAAGGCAGAGUGGGGAGUCAGCUUAGUGGGUGUGGACUUCAAGUUUGAGGAACAAACAAUUCAAGUGAGUAUUGUGGUCUUGACUGGUAUGAACACCAGUUUCCAAAGC